ensembl:snRNA U2 U2 spliceosomal RNA
GACGCUUCUUGGCCUUUUGGCUAAGAUCAAGUGUAGUGUCUGUUCUUAGCAGUUUAAUAUCUGAUAUGCCCUCCAUCCUCUU